CCUACGGGAGGCAGCAGUAAGGAAUAUUGGUCAAUGGAGGCAACUCUGAACCAGCCAUGCCGCGUGCAGGAAGACUGCCCUAUGGGUUGUAAACUGCUUUUAUCCGGGAAUAAACCUGCUUACGUGUAAGUAGCUGAAUGUACCGGAAGAAUAAGGAUCGGCUAACUCCGUGCCGGCAGCCGCGGUAAUACGGAGGAUCCAAGCGUUAUCCGGAUUUAUUGGGUUUAAAGGGUGCGUAGGCGGCCUGUUAAGUCAGGGGUGAAAGACGGUAGCUCAACUAUCGCAGUGCCCUUGAUACUGAUGGGCUUGAAUGGACUAGAGGUAGGCGGAAUGAGACAAGUAGCGGUGAAAUGCAUAGAUAUGUCUCAGAACACCGAUUGCGAAGGCAGCUUACUAUGGUCUUAUUGACGCUGAGGCACGAAAGCGUGGGGAUCAAACAGGAUUAGAUACCCUGGUAGUCCACGCCCUAAACGAUGAACACUCGCUGUUGGCGAUACACAGUCAGCGGCUAAGCGAAAGCGUUAAAGUGUUCCACCUGGGGAGUACGCCCGCAAGGGUGAAACUCAAAUGAUAGAGCGNGAGAGNGCGAGGCGACACGAGGGAGGAGG
rnacentral:rRNA from 1 species